AUGUCUUUUUGUUUAAGGCAGAAACUUGGAGUAUGCACACGUGUGAAUGAGUGGAGAAGGGCUGUCUUUGGUUUCUUUGUGUCUCUUACCAAGGUAAAGAAGACUGUCAAGUUUGGAGAGACUACAUCCAUUCUAGAAGCUGCUUACCUGAGCCACAAACGUUUAUACGGAAGUCUGGCCCUAAGGCUUUUCAAAUCAGCAGAGGCAUGGAAUAUUUGUCACCCACUUUUCUGCAGAUGGGAAGUGAUGCAUAGAGAUGAAAUGAUUUAUUGUUUCACACUCUGUCAGAGCAAGUACUUGUGCUCACCAUUCCUAAGGUCUAGGUAAGUUUGGAUCACUGCAGAAGCCUUAACUUCUGGGUCUAGAGCCUACUUCAUGGCUUUUGCAGCAAGAGGAGGAAAAUUCACAUAUAUGAGCCACUCUUCAGCAUGUAGAUGUAAGGACUGUUGAACAAUUUAACAGAAGCUAUGGACUGUGUUGAAAGAAUGUUCUUUAGAGGUAGUGCUCUCGUGAUUUUUUUGUCAGUACAAUAAGUGUAUUGCUCUGACUGCUCUAACUUCACAGGCAGGUUGGAGCAUUUGUGCCACAAUCUGUACUGUGGAAGGCUAGAGGAAAGCAACAGCUUGUGGGUAGAAAGGCUACUAAGCCCUCUGCACACCGGGAAACUGUUUUUUAUCCUGAACUUUCCAAUCUGGCCUAGAAAUAAAAGCAAUCCUAAUGUAGGUCA
rnacentral:lncRNA from 1 species